rnacentral:rRNA from 1 species
GCCAUAGGUGGCGAACGUUAUCCGGAAUUAUUGGGCGUAAAGGGUGCGUAGACGGUCUAGUAAGUUAGCAGUGGGAAAUCGAGGCCCAACCUCGUGGAAGUUGCUAAUACUACUAUACUUGAGUGCAGAAGAGGUUAACGGAACUCAAUGUGGAGCGGUAAAAUGCGACGAUAUAUUGAAGAACACCAAUCAGCGAAGGCAGUUAACUAUUCUGUUACUGACGUUGAGGCACGAAAGCGUGGGGAGCGAAAAGG